GCUAUGUCCAUUGUGCAAUUAUCUACAUACAUACAUACAUAUGUGCAAGAAUUGCAGGGAAUUGUUAGAGGGCUGUUUUAAGAGUUUCGUGUUCGUUACGAAGAGCGAAUGUUGCAGAAUUUGUUGUUGGUUAAUUUGGUGGAACAUGUUGCCAAUGCCGAAGAGCUUCAAACGUACUGCAAACGGAUUUGAGUGCUCAGUUCGCUUUUUCUCACAAUAGCGCGCGGACGUGGGGCCCGUCGUGCUGCCUCUCGUGUAAUUUUUCCCGUUUCAUGUUAGUAUGUGUAUGUAAGUCCGAACGAGCGCGUGCGUGCGUAUGUGUAGGUGUAGUCGCGUGUCGUUGAAUUAUACAAAAGCAGCAGAGGCAGCAGAGGCAGCAGCAACAACAAUAGCACUACAAACGGUAGCGGCAGCUCCAAAAGCAGCGAAGCAGCAGCAGUAACAUAAUCAAAAAACAUAAAAACAAACAACAUAAGCACGAAAAAAAAUUGAGAAACGGAACAUUUUUGGUGGCAAGUGUUCUCAGUGUGGCAGGCGGGCGGCAAAAAUGCUUUAGACAAUAAAACAGGUUUGCACUGUGGUAUGCGAGCGCAAGAGCAAGAGCGUAAGCGAUAGAGUGAGAGAGAACGAUAGAACGUUCUCUAAGAGAGCAAAGUUUUUGCGAAAAUUGACUGCAUAUAGCGUGGACUUGAAGGGUGAAAUGAGAGGAGUGCGAGGAGAACGUUAAAUACAUUUGCCACUUAUUGUGUGCAUCCUUUGGCAAGGUCUUUCGCAGACGUACGCGCUUGAUGCUUUCGCCACACUGUGCGUUGCUGCUGCGAACCAGUUUUCAUGGCAUUUGUUUUACAUAUUUUCAAUUGUUGCAAUCAAUUGGAAAAACCGUUGGCCCAGAAGACCGUUACUUCUGGGUUGCCAAGCUGAAUAGAAAUUCCAGGCAAGCAGCAAUCAGUUGGCCCCCCUUUUCCAUUCCCUAUUACCCUGCACAAAACAGCUGAGCUUUUGCAGUCGAGCCCCUAGCAACAGCGCAGCAGAAGCUUCUCAGCUGUGCAGCCGCAGCGCAGGCGCCAGUAUACACACACACACACGCAUACAUACAGACAUGUACUUCGAAUUCGACCAGUAAUUGCAUUGCUGCCAUCUCGCUCACGCAUACAUCGCUAUAUGUGCAGUAAUGCCGGAAAACAUUUUUUUAUUCUGUUUUGCAGUCACUGUCGACAGUGUCGCUGCCGCCGCUUCUGCCUCUGCCUCUGCUGCCGUCACUGCUACUGGAAGCUUUACAUAAGUUGACAUUUUGCCAACGUUUUUAGAGCUUGGCUGCAGGUCCUUUGCACAAGUUCUAGUAACGCGCUGCGCAAUCAGCUGCUGCUGCACCGCUUCAGUUCACCGUCGACGUCACUUGCAACCAGACGUUGACUUUUUUUGCAACUUGUUUAUCCACACCCGCAGCCAAACCCGCGAGCAAAUACCGCUUAGCCUGCAGUCAAUAACAAAAAC